rnacentral:lncRNA from 1 species
AUUUUAGACUUCUAUCCUCCAGAACUGAGGAUUGCUUGUUACAAUAGAACCCAAAGCCCCUCAGUGCUUAGGGAGGCAUCUCAUGAAAGCAUGGAAGGACCAAGGGACUAAGACACUGGCAUAGUGUCCAUUGAAGCUGACAUUUCAUUUACUCUACCUCACUGAUUGAUUUAUUUCCAUUUUAAGACAUAGUCUAUCUAUAGCCCUGGCCAUCCUGGAACUUGCUAUGUAGACCAGGCUGACCUUGAAUCUCUGCCUCCCCAGUACAGGGAUUAAAGGCAGGAGUCAUCAAGACUGGUGCUCCACUUCAUUUAAUCCUCACCAUGCCUAUGAGAAUUCGGAGAACAAAGAUGUUCAACAGAUGGACAAGUGAACUAUGAGGAAAAGAAAACACAACUGUUUGGAAGUAGUGGCACAAUCUUCUAAUCCUAGUAUUAGGGGAACAGCUUGGAAGACUCUUUUGAGUUCAAGCCCAGCUAGGGCAACAUAGUGGGGCCCUGUCUCAAAAAAGAAAGGAAGGGAGCUUUCCCAUAUCUUACCUAUGUAGCCAGCAACCAAGCACAGCAAACACCUAACCUCAAAUUCACUUGUAGGACCUCAGGAAUCUCUACUGCCACCAGCUCCAUUUGUCCCCCCUCUUCACCAGAAGUGUCACUUUUGACCAUUCCUUGCACUCGAAGAAGGGUUCCAUGGACAGUGGCUCUUUCUACCUACCUCUGUGCUCUGUGAGCAACUAUUCCUCUGCUCCUCAUAUGGUGUUAUCCUUCUACUCUCCCAGUUAUCUAUUCUCAGGACAGACCUUGCAGAAACUCUGGGUUUUCCUCCCCCUGGAAAAUGCAGUACUGCACAUACAUGAGGCUAGAGACAAGAUAUUAAGACAGGAUGCCUGCCUGACUGCAAGCAAAGGACCUCCAAUCUCUAAUUUGCAGCUCACACUCCCUUUCCAUUUUUCUUUUUGGGUUUUUUGUUUGUUUUAAAGAUUUAUUUACUUUUUAUGUAUACAGUGCUCUGAAUAUAUGCAUGCAGGCCAGAAAAGGGCACCAGAUCUCAUUACAGAUGGUCAUGAACCACCAUGUGGUUCCUGGGAAUUAAACUCAGGACCUCUGGAAGAGCAGCCAGUGCUCUUAACCUCUGAGACAUCUCUCCAGCCCCUAUUUUUUGUUUUUUUAAGACGGGGUAGCUUUGUGUAGCUUUGUAGCCUGUCCUGGAACUCUCUCUCUGUAGACCAGGACAGCCAAGGCUGUUACACAGAGUAAUCCUGUCUCAAAAAAACCAAAAGCAAAACUUGUCAACAUGUACCAAUAACCCCAGUACUUGGAGUGAAGUAAGGCUGGGAGAGGGGGUGCAGCACAGCUUCCACAUGCCUUCUGAGUUCAACUUUCAGUCAAAAACUCAUCUCAGAAAUUGAAGAAGGUCUGGAAAAAUGGCUGGGUGGUUAGGAGCACAUACCACUCUUCUAGAGGACACUAGUUCAGUUCCUAGAACCCACUGUGGGCAGCUCACAACUGCCUGUAACUCCAGCUUCAAGGCAUCCGACACCCUCUUCUGACCUGAGGGUACCCACAUAAUUUAAAUAAAUAAAAAUAAGUAUUAAGUUCCGUUAAAAAACAUACACAACUAAAGAGAGCAUUAGAUACCAAGUCAACUUCUGGCCUUCACACAUGCAUGUAGGAACAUCCCCAAAUGUUCUCCAUACAUACUGUAAAGCCCACUCCCCCCUCAAAUAUGUGUAUUAAAUCAGUUGGAAAACAUGUUACUGUAUGUAUGUAUGUAUGUAUGUAUGUAUGUAUGUAUGUAUCUAUCUAUCUAUCUAUCUAUCUAUCUAUCUAUCUCGGUUUUCCGAGAUAGGGUUUUCUGUAUAACAAUCCUGGCUGUCCUCCAACUCAUUGAGAUCCACCUGCCUCUGCCUCUGAACCACCACCACCUGGCAAUUUUUUUUUUAGGGAUAACUCCAGGAGACCCAAUAGUCUUCCUCUGGCUUCCAACCUGAACCUACUUAUGUGGUAUUCACAGACACCCACCAAUUGUAAAGACAGGCAUACUAGUCCACACCUUUAAUCUCAGACCCGGGAGGCAGGGGCAGGAGGAUCUUCUACAGAGCCAGUUCCAGAACCGCCAGGGCUACACAGAGAAACCUUGUCUCAAAAAAUAAAAAAAAUUUAAAAAAGGAAGCCAGGCGUUGGUGGCACACGCCUUUAAUCCCAGCACUCGGGAGGCAGAGAUUAAAGACCUAUGCUACCAAGCCCAGUGAUUAACCUGAAUGCUGUGAAAAUGACUAGUUUUUAACCACAGCCUUGAUUUGUGUUAAGUAGUUAGCAGUUCUACUUGCCACCAGUGCAAAUUCAACACAGCAAUAAGUCAAAUAAAAUAUGCGUAUGUUACGAGUAACUUUAACCCAGGAACUUCUAAGAGUUUAUGGGUUACACUUUAAUAUUCGAAGGCAAGGGUAAGCACUGAUCAAUCCCAGGGCUCCAAUCACCAUCAAAAUGCUAAUAACUCCCAAAGGUCUCCAUAUCUUCUAGAGCCUCAGUCAUAAAAACAAGUCACUGAUUCAACAAGUAUUUACUGUGAACCUUUUCAGGGAAUAGAUGCUUCAGAAAAGCUGAGUAUCUUUCCUCAUGAAGCUGAGAACUAGUGGGAAGCUCAACAUUACUCGUUGAAACCUGAGGUCCAGGAAUGCCUUGUGAAGAGAGGAUCCUAAAUGGAAAGAAUGAGCUCUGUAAACACACUUGGGAGGGUCUUCACAGUACAAGAGAAUGCAGUAGCCACCAUCCCAGCAUGCACAAACCAAAACCAUGAUGUGCCCUUCCAGGCACCCAGGACAGAACCUAGACUAGUACCCUACCCCCACAAACCCCAGGACUGCUUCUUGAUCACCAGCCUUCCUCAUCUUCUCCAUCUGUACCUGCUGAAACCCCAGCCAGCCUGCUCCCAGCCUGCUCCCUCCCUCUGAGAAUGCUGCAGGCUUAAGAGUGGUCCCAUCUAGUCAGCCUUCUCAAACCCUUCAAAGGUCUGUUGAAACCCUCUAGAUGGAAGUUCACAUUUUUCUCCAAGACUCUGAUCUUUCUUUAUCUACUUCUCCCUGGAGUAACUUCUAGUCACAGAUAAGCAAUUACUGAGUGUUUAUUAUGUGCUAGACACUGCUCCAGUGCUGAAGACAAGGUGGAUAAUGGAGUCCAGCUGCUGUUUGUUUUAUGAAAACUAUACCACCUCCUCUCCUCUCCCCAUCUUAUUUCAGAGACCUCACUAAGUUCUCGAACUGGUUAGGUUUCCUAGAGAACCCCUGACCUCCAUUGUUCCUGCUUAUCAGGCUCCCACACUUUGUCCUCAGGACCCAGGGUGCUGAAUAUGCAUUUUAAAUAUUAAAUAUGCCAGGCAUGCUGGUGCACACCUUUAAUCCCAGCACUCGGGAGGCAGAGGCAAGUGAUCUCUGAGUUUGAGGUCAGCCUGGUCUACAGAGUGAGUCCCAGGACUACACUGAGAAGUCCUGUCUUAAAAACAGUCCAUCCCCCCACAAAAGAAGACAAAUCACUAAAUACUGUUAUUGUUGUCAAGUCUUUAAAAAAGAAAAGGCAACUAUGCUCUAUAAAAGAGAAAGUUUUCCUGUCACUGGAAGCCAGCAGUAGCAUCAGGGGAUCGGCAGGGCUCCCUAAAGCCAGUACUGCACAAGGAGGUUAAAGAGCGGUCAGCAGUCCUCUUACCCAGUGACCAACUCCAACACCUACAGAGUCUGCAUUUCUGAAAUGAGUUAUGCAACAAAAUUCAAGCUUUAAAAUUCUUGUUGCAGAACAGUUACUAUGUCCUCUCUUCACAUAUACAGACAGAUACAAUGUCAUAAGACCAUUUUCCCAUCACUAUUAAACAUUUUAGCUUUGUAAUCACUGUUUUAAUUUAAAUGUUUGUUCUUUUCUCCUCUUGUUCAAUG